rnacentral:lncRNA from 1 species
AUCAGCUUUCGGUUAUUCCAUGAAUUUGACUAUGUGUGUUGUUCCUUGAGUGAGAUCAUUCAAGCCAAACCAAACCAGUGAGACAAGUGUUGAGUUUCUAAUGCAUGUGAAAAACAGCUGAGCCACAUUUGCUUGUAUUUGAACUAUUUAACAGCUGCAGGCAUCUUGAGCGGAUUAUUGGCAGUCUCUCGGAUUUUCUUCCUGAACAGAAAUCACUGUGAUUACCUCAAACUUCUAAGUACGUUUCAAAAACUUACUUGGCCAUCGGAAGACAUUUUAAUGAUGAGCGGUCACCGUAUGGCCAUUGUUUAACUAGAUAUGGACAGAGUUUUAAUCAUCCUUAAUUUUAAUUUCUCUUUGUUUUCCAUUUCUGCUGUCUGAAAUUGAGAGAAGCAGGUUAUGAGGUUGUGUUGUAGCUUUUCCCUUAUAGAUUACACGAGUAUUAGAAAUCAGAAAUCUGUAGUUCCUUAAGAUGAAAGUUUUGAGACCCCUUGAGGUGAAAGGUUGGAGAUCCUUUGACGAUGAAGGUAUUGAGACCUCUUGAAGUGGAGAAUUGGAAAACCCUUGAGGUGAAGGGUUGGAGAUCUCUUUCGGUGAAGAACUGGAGACCUCGUGAAAUGAAGGACUGGAGAUCUCUGGCACUUCAGUUCUCACACCUGAGUUGUAAGACUUACACAUCUGAACCCUGUGUCACAUGUUUACACAUACCUCAGGAAAUCUCAUCCAGCAGAGUUGGAGUGCUGCUGUGGAUCUGGCACUUUGCAGUCAGAGCUCUGCUGGAUGAGAUUUCCUGAGGUAUGUGUAAACAUGUGACACAGGGUUCAGAUGUGUAAGUCUUACAACUCAGGUGUGAGAACUGAAGUGUCAGAGAUCUCCAGUCCUUCAUUUUACAAGGUCUCCAGUUCUUCACUGUAAGAGAUCUCCAACCCUUCACCUUAAGGGUUCUCCAGUUCUCCACUUCAAGAGGUCUCAAUACCUUCAUCUCAAAGGAUCUCCAACCUUUCACCUCAAGAGGUCUCAAAACUUUCAUCUCAAGGAUUUCUGAUUUCUAAUAGUUGUGUAAUCUAUAAGGGAAAAGGUACAACACAACCUCAUAACCCGCUUCUCUCAAUUUCAGAACAGCAGAAAUGUAAAACAAAGAGAAAUUAAAAUUAAGGAUGAUUAAAACUCUGUCCAUAUCUAGUUAAACAAUGGCCAUAGGGUGACCACUCAUCAUUAAAAUAUCUUCCGAUGGCCAAGUAAGUUUUUGAAAUGUAGGUAGAAGUUUGAGGUAACCACAGUGAUUUGUGUUCAGGAAGAAAAUCCGAGAGAUUGCCAAUAAUCUGCUCAAGUUAAAUAGUUUAAAUACAAGGCUUACCUAGCAAACAUGACUCAGCUGUUUUUCACAUGCACUAGAUUUGCUUUAGCAUUUACUUUAAUAUUUUUAUGUGCAAGGCAUUUAAAAAUAAAGGCACUCUGAAACUCA